CACAGCUCAAAUUUGAAAUCUGGCUCCUUCGGGGUCCGAGUUGUAAUUUGUAGAGGACGUUUCGGGAGCGGCGCCGGUCUAAGUCCCUUGGAACAGGGCGUCAUAGAGGGUGAGAAUCCCGUAUGUGACCGGCGACCAACCCCAUGUGAAACCCCUUCGACGAGUCGAGUUGUUUGGGAAUGCAGCUCAAAAUGGGUGGUAAAUUUCAUCUAAAGCUAAAUACCGGCCAGAGACCGAUAGCGCACAAGUAGAGUGAUCGAAAGAUGAAAAGCACUUUGGAAAGAGAGUCAAACAGUACGUGAAAUUGUUGAAAGGGAAGCGCUGGCAACCAGACCUGUCCGCGGGCUUCAGCCCUCGUUCUCGAGGGUGUACUUGUCCGCGAUCAGGCCAGCAUCGGUUCGGGCGGUUGGAUAAAGGCCUUGGGAAUGUAGCUUCCCCCGGGAAGUCUUAUAGCCCUUGGCGCAAUGCGACCAGCCCGGACCGAGGACCGCGCUCGC
rnacentral:rRNA from 1 species